GGGUGCGUGGUGGAGUAGCUAACACACGAGUCUGUAAAACUCGCGCCUUCGGGCUUCGCAGGUGCAAUUCCUGCCGCACCCACAA
rnacentral:tRNA from 2 species